AGUGAACGCUGGCGGCGUGCCUAAUACAUGCAAGUCGAAGGAAGUGGCGCACGGGUGAGUAACACGUGAGUAACCUGCCCUUUUCUUUGGGAUAAGCCUGGGAAACUGGGUCUAAUACUGGAUGGAUUGGGAUGGGCAUGCGGCUUGUCAGCUUGUUGGUGGGGUGAUGGCUUACCAAGGCUUUGACGGGUAGCCGGCCUGCGAGGGUGGUCGGUCACACGGGAACUUAGAUACGGCCCAGACUGCUACGUGGGGCGGCAGUGGGGUAUAUUGCACAAUGGACGAAGGUCUAAUGCAGCGACGUCGUGUGGGGGGUGAAGGCGUUCGGGUUGUAAACUCCUUUCGCCCGCGGAAUGGUAGUGGGUAAAGAAGCGCCGGCUAACUACGUGCCAGCAGCCGCGGUAAUAC
rnacentral:rRNA from 1 species